rnacentral:lncRNA from 1 species
GGACUGGUGUGUCCUGCUUGAGCUGUUUGCUCUGAACUGGCCCUGCACCAUAGCUGUGUUGCUGCAGAACAGGAAUAAAAGGAAGAUUUUGAUAAUGGAAUUGGUGGUACUUCCCCUUUUGUAAUUGACUGUGAAAGAAUCUGCUAUUGCACCAAGUCCCUCCAUCUGUGAGCCCAAUGAGCUGCGUUUCUAACACUCUUCUGAAAUCAAGUAGGAGCCAAACUAAGGCUACGUUGUUCCAUAAAGCAUAGCAGGGGGUCUUCUAAGGAGGUUUACAAGAAAAAUAAAGACCACUGCAGUUCAUAAAUCA